GUGGGGAAUAUUGCGCAAUGGAGGCAACUCUGACGCAGCCAUGCCGCGUGCAGGAAGAAGGCGCUACGCGUUGUAAACUGCUUUUAACCGGGAAGAAACCCCAGGACGUGUCCUGGGUCGACGGUACCGGAGGAAUAAGCACCGGCUAACUUCGUGCCAGCAGCCGCGGUAAUACGAAGGGUGCAAGCGUUAUCCGGAUUCAUUGGGUUUAAAGGGUGCGUAGGCGGAGCGUUAAGUCAGUGGUGAAAUCCUGCAGCUUAACUGUAGACUUGCCAUUGAUACUGGCGCUCUUGAGUGCGCUUGAAGUGGGCGGAAUGUGCCGUGUAGCGGUGAAAUGCUUAGAUAUGGCACAGAACACCAAUUGCGAAGGCAGCUCACUAAGGCGAUACUGACGCUGAGGCACGAAAGCGUGGGGAUCGAACAGGAUUAGAAACCCUAGUAGUCC
rnacentral:rRNA from 1 species